rnacentral:rRNA from 1 species
UACGUAGGGCGCAAGCGUUAUCCGGAAUUAUUGGGCGUAAAGAGCUUGUAGGCGGUUUGUCGCGUCUGCUGUGAAAAUCCGGGGCUCAACCCCGGACUUGCAGUGGGUACGGGCAGACUAGAGUGUGGUAGGGGAGACUGGAAUUCCUGGUGUAGCGGUGAAAUGCGCAGAUAUCAGGAGGAACACCGAUGGCGAAGGCAGGUCUCUGGGCCAUUACUGACGCUGAGAAGCGAAAGCAUGGGGAGCGAACAGG